UACGAGGGGUGCAAGCGUUGCUCGGAAUUAUUGGGCGUAAAGGGUAGGUAGGUGGUCUCAUUUGUCUGGGGUGAAAAUCCUUGAGGCUUAACUCAAGAAGUGCCCCAGAAACGGUGAGACUUGAGUACUGGAGAGGGUCGUGGAAUUCCCGGUGUAGCGGUGAAAUGCGUAGAGAUCGGGAGGAACACCAGCGGCGAAGGCGGCGACCUGGACAGUAACUGACACUCAACUACGAAAGCGUGGGGAGCAAACAGG
rnacentral:rRNA from 1 species